rnacentral:miRNA from 1 species
GCUGACACAUCCCUGCCAAUCUCCGGCAGACCCUCCCUCCCAGACCCUCCCUCCUCCUGGACAGCAUCCAUGUUGAAGCUGCCUUCAACAUGGAUGCUGUCCAGGAAGUAGGAGGGUCUGGGAGGGAGGGUCUGCCGGAGAUUGGCAGGGAUGUGUCAG